rnacentral:rRNA from 1 species
UACGUAGGGUCCGAGCGUUGUCCGGAGUUACUGGGCGUAAAGCGCGCGCAGGCGGUCCGCGAGGUGUCACGUGAAAGCCCCGGGCUCAACUCGGGAGGGUCGUGGCAAACCGGCGGACUUGAGGCCGGUAGAGGUGGGUGGAACUCCUGGUGGAGUGGUGAAAUGCGUAGAGAUCAGGAAGAACACCCGUGGCGAAGGCGGCCCACUGGGCCGGAACUGACGCUGAGGCGCGAAGGCGUGGGGAGCGAAUGGG